rnacentral:rRNA from 1 species
AUUGAACGCUGGCGGCGGGCCUAACACAUGCAAGUCGAACGCAUGGCGGACUGGUGAGUACUGUAUUGAAAAGUGCCUGAUGGACGGGUCUAACUACGGUAAACGGUAGAUAAUACCGCUUACCACCACUUGUGGCCACAUGGGUGUAGCUAGUUGGUUGGGUAACGGCUCACCAAGGCGACGAUCCCUAGCUGGGCUGAGAGGAUGACCAGCCACACUGGGACUGAGACACGGUCCAGACUCCUACGGGAGGCAGCAGUGGGGAAUAUUGCACAAUGGGCGAAAGCCUGAUGCAGCAACGCCGCGUGUAUGAAGAAGGCCUUCGGGUGGUAAAACACUUUUAGCGGGGAGGCGGUACCCGAAGAGGAAGCACCGGCUAACUCCGUGCCAGCCGCCGCGGUAAUUC